rnacentral:lncRNA from 1 species
AGGAGACACAGAAGAUGGAGGGAGGGAUGGCAGCCUACCCUGUGGCAACGCGGGAGUCGCGUUGCCGCAGGGGGCGCAUUGGGGUCCAGCCGUCCCCAGAACGCAGAUCAGAGGUAGUCGGACCUUUCCCGCUGGCGCGCAGCCUCAGCUAGGGCACACAGAGUGAACAGAAAAAGAGGAUACCUCUGCGAUCCCGGGUCAUCUCCAGAUGCUAGGGUUAUGGGUGAGUGCUCUUUAUCCUUCUGAAUCCUCUUCCUUAUCCUUUUCAAAAAGUCUGUUUUGGCCAGGCGCGGUGGCUCACGCCUGUGGUCCUGGCACUUUGGGAGGCCGAGGCGGGCUGAUCCCAUGAGGUCAGGAGUUCCGGACCAGCCUGGUCAGCACGGCGAGACCCCAUCUCUGCUGGAAAUGCAAAAAUUGGCUGGGUGUGGUGCCAAGUGCCUGUGGUCCCAGCUGCUUGAGGGGCUGAGGCAGGAGAAUCGCUUGAACCCGGGAGGCGGAGGUUGCAGUGAGCUGAGAUCGUGCCACUGCGCCCCAGCCUGGGCGACAGAGCAAGACUCUGUCAUAAAUAAAUAAAUAAACAAAACAAAACAUCAUAACAUAUAGAAAAAAUUUUCAAACAAUACAAAUUGACACUUGACUGAUUCCCAGAGAGUGAAGGCAGUGUGGCAUAGCAGAAAGAGCGAGGUCUGAAGUCAAAUCGUAUGGGUUUAAAACUUGGCUUUGCCUGAUAUGAUCUGUAAAGUGUAGGCAAAUCUGUUGACUUCUUUGGGUCUCAGUUUAUCAUCUACAAAAUAGGCUUAACAAUUAUUUUCAUGAUUGCUGGGAGGACUAGAUAGGAUGAUAUAUGUGAAAGUUCUUAGUAGGUACAGAAAUUAUACUAAAAAAGACAAACAAAUCCACAUGCUAUAAUGCAGUGUGGACUAUCUUUGGUAACCCACAUGUCAAAGGUAGUCUUAAACUGCUCUGGUUUGGUAAAUGUUGGCGUAAACUAGAAGUCAGAGACUAUGGGAUCCACCCUUAUCUGCUCUCGAGCUUUGGUUUACAAUGAGCUCAAGUGUGGGGAUUGUGUCAAAUGAUUCCUGGAAUCCCAUACAUUUGUAAAAUUCUAUGAAUUUGUGAAGUCUGCAAAAUGUGAAUCUGAGGUGUAUGUACUGUAGAGCAACUAUUAGACCAUUUAUCACAUUAUAUAUAGAUAGACAGAUAUAUCUAUAUAUAAUUUUUUUUUUAGGCAGAGUCUUGCUCUGUCACCCAGGCUGGAGUGCGGUCUCGGCUCACUGCAACCUCCGCCUCCUGGCUUCUGGCCGUUCUCCUGCCUUAGCCUCCCAAGUGGCUGGGAUUGCAGGCACCUGCCACCAUGCCCGGCUCAUUUUUGCAUUUUUAGUGAAGAUGGGGUUUCGCCGUGUUGGUCAUUCUGGUCUUGAGCUCCUGACCGCAGGCGGUCCACCCACCUUAGCCUCCCAAGGUGCUGGGAUUGCAGGCGUGAGCCACCGCGCCUGGCUAUCACAUUAUAUUUUACAGAAGCCAUCAUCCCAUACCUUUGAGUCCAGCCCCAGAAAGAGCGGUCCCUUGCAUACCAUUCAAUAUGACCUUGGGCAUCCUUUCCCCACUCCCCAGCCAUAGCUGUUUGGGCUAGGGUUGGAAACCUGUCCAUGGUAGGCCCUUUGGAGUCUCUUGCUGGCCACUUGGGAUUACAAUGGAGACAGUCAAGUUAACAGACAGUAAUGCUGGACCUGGACAGUUGCCAGCACGUGUUGGAGGCUGAGAGCACCAUCCAGUGUAAGCCAUGGUGGAUGGUGUAGUAGGAGAGCAAAGGAAGGCAAUCUGCAAAUGGGUUGGAUGGGGAGGGGGAGAAAAGGUGGGAGAAAGAGAGAAAUAUAAAAUGAGGGAAGCAGAGGAAGAGAUAACAUGGCAAUGAAGAAAGUAACAUCUUUGGUCAUUUUCUGUUCCAAUCACCCACAGCAGGCCUGUCGGUUCUCUUUUACCUAAGUAGAUUUUAGUGGCUUUUCUAUUCUUGAUCUCCAACCAUGCCCUAAGACAUACGGCAAUGGUAACACAGACUGAGGAUUCUCUGAUGGCAGGGCUUUGUCUCAUUCCUUUUUGCAACAAGCACAAAGUAGAUGCUCAAUGAAUUUAUACUGAAAUGACAUGAAAAUCAUGUUUGUGUAUGAAGUGUCACUGAUGGCAUUUAUAUGAAAAAGGUUAAUUAAAAUAAUUAUGUUUUUAAAAAAGUCUGUUUUAUCCUAUGAAAUGGGCAGUGGUUCUGGGAUUUCAGCCCAUCUACAGAAGACACUGCUGAGGCAUGUAGAUAACUGGCAUGGGGCAAUGGUGCCCUAUUCUGUAGCUUUCCACCAUGCUUAGUAGGAAAGACUUUUUGAAUGAGGUCCUGAUAGUGAGGCCCAAAGUAGGAAGUGCAUGGAUGAGCACCUAGGCAAGAUGUGUUUCCUUCAGGGGAUUGGGAUCAUUUCUUGGAACUUGAGGUCAGUGUCCUGUAGUGUAGGGGAGAGGGGAAAUGGGUUGGGACUGGGACUCUGGGAGGCUGGCCAUCUGCCAGUUAUGGGAUCUUUGGGCUCCCAGAGUUACUUUUAAGAAGUGGUCCUGGCCUCACUUAAGAAGAGAAAGUCUGUUGGAGACCCAGGGAAGACAGACAGGUCUUUUGGGCCUUCACCUUAUUGGUGUUGAGUACAGCUCUGCCUUCUUGUCCUGCCCAUUAUCUCCCAAUCCCUCUUGGGCCCAACUCACUGCACAAUGGCCCUCCUGACUGGUGAGGACAUGGAGUGCACUCUGCCUUAACUGUUAGAGGGUGAUUGGGCUAAAAGGGGUGGGAGGCCACACUCACGCAGCCUGGUGCCAAUCGCUCAAUGUCCCUUAUGUCUGUCUCUUGACAUACUGAGGAGAAAUGUGGGGGAAUGUGUCUUGAAGAGGUGUUAUUCCACACAAGCCAUCAGAAGUACACCUACCACAAGCCUGCUUGUAAGAAUUGUCCUGCCAUUGAUCCUGGCAUGGACAUCACAUAUGAGGAGGAUGGGUAUCUCUAGUUUGGCUCCUGUCUCCCCUCCUCACUGACCCAAGCGUGCAACCUUCCUUGUCUGGAGACCAUUCCUCAUCUGGAGGGUACGGCCAUGUGAAAGGAGCGGGGUCCUCAGGCCACAUUGUCUUGUGAUGGCAGUUUUUCCUCACUGUUCACCCCAGUUCUGGUGCCGCUGCGCCACCAUUUUGUGGGUAUUGCAUCCUGAGACCUCUGGGUCAAGCUGACCUUUUAGUGGCUUAUGUCAAUGUCCAAGUCAAAAUGUUACUUGGUAAGCAGAGUUUAAGUCUGGCUCCAACUCUCUGCCCAGACUCAAGAUAUUUUCCUGUGGUCUCAGCCAGCUCCAGUGCUAAAGAUUCAGCCAUGGCUUUUAGGUAUGAUCAUAAGGUAAUGAUUAGAGCCAUUUCUCCUUGUCAAGAGGAAAGUUUGAGACCACCCUACUGGGAUGAAGCCCUGCAAGAUGGAGGACCAGCAAUGAGAACUGGGAGCCCCAAGGAUUCAGCCAGGAUAAACACUGGCUGGCUUUUUCUUCAGUAGCAAAUGGCAGAGGGAUGGAAUAUUGGGGAGGAAAGAGGGGAAGGAAUGCUGGCAUUUCUGGCAUAAUAGUGCCAUCUAGAAGAACUUGUUUGACAAUCCCAUGAACCCUUGCUCAUGAUUGUCUGAGGAGUGGCUUGGGAGUGAAGUGGGGUUUCAGGAGGGAACAGAGCUAUCUGGAUGCAUGGGAGAAGUGUGGCCAAUGGCCAUUUGGGGCUGUCAAGCUUCAGAGACAAGCACCAGGUCAAGACCCCCAGAGCACCUGGUGGGACCUGUACUGGAAGCCCUGGCUCAUGAUUCUGUUGGUAGCCAUGUCUGGAUAGGGCUAGCAUAAAUCUCUGCAAAGGAUCCCCACCCUGAGGUUACAGCCAUUUUACCACCUGCCCCUUUACUGGCUGCAGUGCCUGCUCCUGAGAGUGCCAUACUUCUGGCAGAAGCCUGUUUUUAGUGCUGUGUGUCCCACACCAAAGAGAGCUAGUGCCUAGAUCCCUGCCUUUGCAGAGUUCUUCUUGGCCACCUUCCUUCAAAGUCCCAGGAGCCUCAGGGCAAUGAGCAGGAAUUGGCCUUGCUUCCCAUUCACCCCUGGCUCUCCCAAGUCUGAACCUGUGUUUAUCCAGGUAGCUGGGAAUCAAGAAGGGCCAGGAGUCCAUGCCAGAAUCUAACCACUGUAGGGUUCUGUCAUCAUCCUUCCUUUCUCCAUGCCCAUUUCUCUCUGUGCAUCCAGCCCUAGCCUCCUCCCCAUUUCCCUCAGAUCUACUUCUCAUCAAGCAGUCCUGCCGAGCCAAGAACGAGGUACAUACUCCUGGGUACAUGGCCUAUUUUAUACACUCCAUCUUCCUAAUGGCCUACUCCUGGAAAACAUCGUGGUUAAGUUGUGCUUUUGCCAGCUCUUAACUGACUGAGGCUAUGCUCCCUGGUCAGUGCUUGCCCACAGGCCUGGUAGGAAGACUCAAGGCCCAGAUCUCCACCUUUUUUUUUUCUUUCACCUCCCAAAUGGGUGCCAAAAACUGCUCUAGUCCUUUCUCAGUUUCAUACUUGUGAGUUUCCUAAAGUGUUGCCCAGUGGUCUUAUGUGGGCAGAGCCUUUUAGGGUCAAUCAACCUUCUUUUUUCCAAGCCUCAGGGCAAGACCUGGACCUACAGGAUCUGAUUGAUCCUAAGCUCAAGGCUGUGAGUGUGAUGCUCUGAGAGUGUUCCUUAGGUUUGAGCCAAUGCUGUAAGACAAGCAGAUACACAGAACAUAGAUCUUCAUGUUUGAACCCAGGUUUCUUCCACGAGGAGAGGAACCAGAUCAUACUAAGGAACUAGAGCCUAACAAACAGUGCACUUCCGGAUUGUUCUUGAGCUGAAGUACAGCACAAUACAGACCUAGGUCCUCUGACACCAGAGCUCAAUGUUGGUAUCAACUUGAUCCCCAAUGAGUGUCAGCACUCUCUGCCCCAUGGGACAAAAUGUGUGCAAUGGCACGCUGUGAGACCUUUGACCCAGACUUUCUUUGACAGGAGCAAAAAUUAACCAGACAAAGUUUGAAGUGCAAUGUACUUCAACUACUCUUUCUUGUAUCAUUGUAGUACCCCCCAAAUCAGGAAAUUUUCUAUCCUUUUUAUGAGCUACACCUAGCAAUGUGGCUACUGCCACCUCCCCUUUAUUUGGCUGGCCCUGGGACCUCCAGGGCAGUGCCUCCUUUCUUCGCUUGAAGUUACAUCUUCACCAAGAGCAAAGAUCCACAGUCAAAAUGCCCUGUGGUAGCUCCAGGUUCCCAAACAUGGCUGCCACUAAGGCCUGGCCUCUGCCGCCUCCCGAGCCUGGCAGGCCUGGCAGCCCAGGGUUUCUUGGUGGGCAAGCUCGGCUCCCUCGCUUUUGCACUGAAUCUGGAGGCACCCAGUCAGGUGCCCACAUCCAGUCCCAGAAUUCCCUGAGUGCCCCAAACCUACCCUUUGUUCUAUUAGAAACCUUCCCCUCUGGAUACACUGCGAAGGGCUGGAAGCCAUGCUCAAAAAGCUUCCUCUUGAUGGCACUGUUGUUCCAGAAAUGCCAACCGCCCCGUCCUACCAGGCCUCUCCCUCCACCCUUUGUGGAUGAAAAAACACCAGGGAAGGCCCACAACCAGUAUAAGCCUUAGAAGCAGAGUUUAUUCUGCUAUAGUGCUACAAGGCAGGGCUGAGUGUACCUUUCUCUGGGGCUCUUGGUUUUAAUAUAAAUGUCUGUGUGUAAGUGUUCAUCAAAAAGAACAGAUGUAUCCAUGUAUCUGUUGCUGUUAAUACAUCAUCCCUUUAUGAGCGUUAAGUCUAAAUAUCAUGUAAAUGUGUCAGUGGCUUCUGGGCACACUUGUGGGUUUAUAUAGGAUAUCUUAGGUAGAAUUCUUGCUCUUAUGGGGACAUUGACUCAUAGCUUGAGGUGGGCUGAGUACCUGGAUUUCCCUUCUUAUCUUGGAGUUGUUGCUUCUCUUCUGUCCUCAUGGAGCCAGGGCAAUCUUACCCAAGGCAGUCCAGCAGCCUCUUGUAGCUUAAGAUGUCAGCAGCAGGCCCUAGAGGGAAUGGCAGGCUAUUGCGGGGCCUGCAGGAAUUGACAGGUGCUAUAUCAGGUGAGAAGACUUUUUCAAAGUGAAAAUAAAAAUCUAGAGAUGAAUAUCUAAAUUUAACAUUUUAUUACAGGAGGAAAAAUUGCAGUUUGGUGCAUACAUACAGAUUCGGUGGCCUUUAGUAUUUCUGAAGAAGAAAGAGGAGGUUGCAGGUUUUAUAAAAGGAGAAAUGUCACAUACAGUUUUUCUAGAAAGUUCAUUGGUACUAGUAACGUAUUGUGGAGCUAGCAGUCUCUGAUGGGUGAGUGAUAGUCUUGGGUAAAAGUGGUCUUAGAGUUUUGAGCAGGUUGUUUCAGUAGCUGUUAGAUAAAAGUGUUUUCAGGAUAUAACAGGCAGUUUUAUCAUCCAGGCUGGUAGAGAAUUACAUUCUUAGAGCAAUGUAAUAAUGCCCUGAGUGCUUCUUCCCCCUGAACUCUUGACUGUUUUAGUUUUAUAUUGUAAGAAUGACCCAAUGUGUGUGAUCAACUUUCACACGCCCCUCUUUGAUCAAGAUCCUUCUAUGAAUGCAUGACUGAUCAACCAUUGUGAAGUUAGGCUUAAUUGUCUCUCGGUGCUGGGAUGGAGCUGUCCUGUUGUCUUCCUCAUUGAGGGUAAGUCAUAGGGGUGUAUAUCAGUGACCUGGGUCAUAUUGGAGUAACAAGGAGGCCAGAAGGAAAAAUUUUCUCAUGGUAGGUUCAUCUGGAGUCCAGCAUCAAGUUUCAUCUUACAGUUCCAUAGUCAUCAGCAGUCACCUUGAAACAAUGGGCUAAUUUUAUCCCCUUCAGAGAGCUGGCUUUACAAAGAUUAGACAGGUAAUAAGAGCAACACUUAAAAAUCAUAAUACAAAAAUAAAAAACAAUAUAAUAAAAUUAGUUUGCACAAUGGUUUUGCUCUAAGAGCACAAACUUAAGGGCAACAACUAAACAAAUCAAAAGACCAUAGAGGAAACUAGGUGAGACCUGUUAUAGCCACUGAGUAGCAUUUUCUGACUUGGUAAAAUUAAAACAGAGAAUGCCAAUUUUACAAAAGGAACCACCAUUAUAAUUUGAACAAAAUUUUUAAAGUUGCCCACUAGGUGAACUAAAAGGAUUUCUUUGGUCAGGUUUUGUCAAGUUAUCUAUAGCAGUUACUGGUUGCUAAAAAAAAGUAAUUAUGUCAACUUCCUGCCAAGUGAAAAAAAAAUAUCAUUAAGGGAAGUAAGACUUUCAUUAUGAUAUGUCAUUCUGAUGUCUUAGGAAAGGUCGUUUAUGGCAUGAAAAAUGUCAACUUCUUGUCCUGGUUUACAGUUUGAAUGUCUCUGGCUUUGGUGUCAGGGAGUUUGGUGACCUUUCUGUGUGGUUCAUAUAUCAGGCACAAGAUUUGUUCCUUAAAAUUUAUCUAGUUUUAGCUUACAGGCCUUAGAAACGAAGUAGUUCCUGCCUUAGGAGUUUUAUGGAAAAAAGUUGGAUUGGAGGAACCUAGAAUAAUUUAGGACCACGUGUAGUGUAUAAGUAGAUAAUAAGAGCUUGAAAACAAUGUGCAGAGUUAAAAUCUAAUAACAGGUGUAGUAUAGCUCUUUUUUAGAAACAACCUUUUCUUUCUACAUUGAUCAUAUAGGAAAUCUCAGAUUUUAAAACCUCAUGAGGCUAGAAAGCAAAACCAAGACCAACUUUAGAUUUUAUUAUAAUCUUAGGAUUCCUGGACCUGCUGGGAAGUGACAGUUUUUAUUUACUCACUAUAAGGCUGGGAACCCUUAAGUCAGGCAUUUUAUGCAUAUUUUCAAAUAUGUCAUUUCAGUCAAAGCCUUGGUAAUAACCAUGCUUUUAAAUUGUAUUCUGCUAUAAAGAAGACAGAUUUUUAUUGGGCUUAUGCAAAUAAUCAUAUUACCAUAAGAAUACUAACAAAUACUUUCUGAAUUCUGGAGGAAUCAAGGAGAAAAAUCCAAAUGAUUUUCCUUUUUUUCUUUUUUCUUUUACAAAAGUAUAUCUUACCAAAUUGCUAUAAAUGAUAGCUCAAGAGAGAAAAUGUUCCUAAAUCUGAAAAACAAAACAUUAAGAACCACAUGUAUCAAGUAAAAAAUCAUAAAAACAUUGUCUUCAUUAGUUAUUCAGUCUCAUAUAAUCAACAUUUGUUCUCUUUGAUCUCCACUAGUAGUUUUCUGAAUCCAUCAGUUUAUUAGAGUUCUGGAAGUUUUCAUUUAGUCCAUUGAUAUUAAAGUUAUCAGAAACCUGUAUUUAAGAGUUCUUGUGGGCCAGGCAUGGUGGUUCACACCUGUAAUCCCAGCACUUUGGGAGCCCAAGGCAGGUGGAUCACCUGAGUUCAGAAGUUCAAGACCAGCCUCAUCUUGAACUAAAAAACCCCAUCUCUACUAAACCCCGUCUCUACUAAAAAUACAAAAAAAAAAAAAAAAAUUUCCUGGGCAUUGUGGCAGACGCCUGUAAUCCCACCUACUUGGGAGGCUGAGGCAGGAGAAUCACUGGAACCCAAAAGGCGGAGGUUCCAGUGAGCCGAGAUUGCGCCAUUGCACUCCAGCCUGGGCAACAAGAGCAAAACUCCAUCUGAAAAAAAAAAAGAGUACUUGUUGGAGUUUUUUCCAUUAAUUUGAUAUUUAAUUUUAUUAAUUAGUUUAUUUCAGCUCUGUCAUCCAGGCUGGAGUGCAGUGACAGGAUCACAGCUCACUGCAGCCUCCAACUCCUGGGCUCAAGUGAUCUUCCUGCAUCACCCUCCCAAGUAAUCAGGACUAGAGGCAAGUACCACCAUAGCCAGCUAAUUAUUUUUUUGCUUUUUGUAGAGACAAGGUCUCGUGAUGGUUCCCAGGCUGGCCUUGAACCCCUGAGCUCAAGCAAUCCUCUCGUCUCAGCCUCCCAAAAUGAUAACUUUUCAAGUGUGAGCCACCAUGACCAUCCCUUGUUCAUGAAUUUGAUUGUAAAUGUUUUUACAGAAUAAUUCAAAAUGAUAACUGUGGAUUCUAAAAACUUGGAAUGGCCGUGGUUAAAAAUCUGAUGAAAGGUUGUAAUUGAUGAGAAAAUUUAGUUAGUUCUAUUACAUAUAGCAUUUUUAGGUAACAACUAGAAUUAUGAUUGAUAACAUAUUUCUAUGAAUUUAUAUAAUUUUUGAAACAUUUGCAUUAAUAGUACAUUUAUAAAUGCAACUAAGAGAAGAUCUAAUAUUGCUUAUCCUUCAACAACAUUUCUUACACAAUUUUCCAAAUAAGCUUAAUCAUUUAAUGUCUCUACAAAAUGAAAAAAAUAUCUUUUGUUGCUUUCCAGGGGUCUGAAUGGAAAAUCCUAAAGUUAAUUCUAGGUCAACAAGACUUAAUUAAGGAUUUGAUCUUGAGUAAGUUUGUCAAAGAUGUUAAAGCGCUCAAAGCAUUUGAUCAAAACAGAAUUGCAGGCCACUAUAAAAUAAUACUCAUUUAACCAAAGUGAUCAUCAAAAGACUUCAGAUGCAACACAGAGAGUUACACGGAUAUAAAAACCUUAAUCCUUUUAAAGCUCAAUUAUCCUCAGUAAUCAAAAACCUAAUAAAGUCAACACAGCAAAUUUUCUUGAUAAAACAAAAAGCCUUUGAUUCUUAGGCCAACUAACAAAAAGCCAAAGUAAAACCAUCAGCCCUGUGACUUUUUCUUCUUAAUGGAAGCUCAUUUAGAUGAACUGGAAGUUGAACCUGAUGAAUUUAAUUAGACACAAGGAUAAUGUUUCCAAGGUUAUGAGUGGAAUAAUUCAGGUAAAUCAAAAAAGCCAAGAAUACAGAGUCAAAUUUUACGGGAGGGAAAGUGCUUUUUUAGGCCUGCAAGGUAAACAUUUUAGUGUUAGGCCAUAACAGCAGGUUAGAACUAGAGAAAAAAGAGGGGCUGACAAAAAAGUUGAAGGAGAGUUUUCAUAACAGGCAUUCUCAAGGGGAUAAAAAGGUGAAUGUCAUGAUGUGUGACCUGCAAAUCACGUGCAGUGAGGUACAGCAAAAGUUGUACCUCUGAGGUAUAAAUCUGAGAAAUUUGAAAAGUAAAACUUUACCUUAACAAAUGAAAUUAGGGGGCAAAGCAAGAUGGUGGAAUAAAAGGCUCCACCUAUCAUUUUCCUCUCCCAAGGACAUAAAUUUAACAACUAUGGACACACAAAGAAUAACACCGUGACAAGAAUAAAAAAAUCAGGUGAGCACUAACAAUACCUGGUUUUACCUUUCUGUCACUGAAAGAAGCACUGAAGAGAUAGAAAAAAAGUAUUGAAGUGCUAAUGUCACCCCUCCCUCACACCCUGGCAGCAGCAGCAUGGUGCUGAGAGAGUUUCCGUGUUCUGGGGGAAGGGAGAGCAUGGCAGUUGUGAGGUGUUGAACUCAGUGCUGUCAAGUUAGAGCAGAAAGGAAAGCCAGUCCAAACUCAUCUGAUGCCUGCCAUAGUGGGAGUAUUUAAACCAGACCUAGCCAGAAGGGAAUCACCGCUUGAGUUCCUCUAAACCUCACUACCACGUUCUAAAGUGCUCAGAGACUCUAAAUGAACUCGAAAGGUAGGCUAGGCCACAAUGAUUUCAACCUUUAGAUGAGUUCUAAUGCUGAAAUGGGCCCAGAGACAGUGGACUGGUGGGGCACAUAACCUACUGAAACAUCAGCUGGGGUGGCUAAGAAAGUGUGGGCAUUACCUCUCCCCUAACCCCAAGCUACAUAGCUCACAGCUCCAAAAGAGACCCCUUCCUUCUGCUUGAUGAGAGAGGAGGGAAGAGCGAAGAGGACUUUUUAUUGCAUGUUGAAUACCAGCUCAGCCACAGCAGGAUAGGACACUGGUCAGAAUCCCGAGGCCCCCAUUCCAGGCCCUACCUCCCAGGUAACGUUUCUAGACACAACCCAGGCCAGAAAGGAACUUGCUGCCUUGAAGGGAAGGACCCAGUCCUCGCAGCAUUUAUUACCUACUAACCGAAGAGCCCUAGACCCUGAAUAGCAAGCAGAGAUAUCCAGGUACUACUUUGAAGGACUUCAGUGGGACUCUGAGACUUACUGGCUUCAAACAUGUCUCAGCACAUUUCCAACUGUAGUGGCUACAGGGCGAGACUUCUUCUGCUUAAGAGCAGAGGAAAGAGUAAAGGGGACUUUGUCUUGAACCUUAGGAACCAGGUCAACCACAGGGGGCUGUACCAAGUGGGCUCUUGGAGUACACAAUUCCAGGACUUGCCUCUUCAAUGGUAUUCCUGGACCUCUCCUGGGCCAAAGGGAAGCCCACUGCCCUGAAAGGUGAGUCCCAAGUCAGGCAGCAUUCAUCACAAACAGACAUAGGAGCCCUUGGACCUAAAGGGAACAUUGACAGUGGUCUGGCAAUACUCCCCAUGGGCCUGUGAUGGUGAUGACCACAGAGUGAGGCUUCUUUACAUUUGGAAAGGGGAGGGGAGACUGGAACGACUGCAUUUUGUGCCCUCACUGACAGCUCAGCCACAAUACAAUAGAACACCAGCAAGACUUCUAAGGUUUUGGACUCUUCUUCCUGACUCCAAGAUGGCACUCUUGGACCCACAUGGGGCCUGGGAGCACUCACUGCUCUGAAGGGAAGGGUGCAGGCCUAACUUUCCACCUGCUGAUUUUAGAGUCCCAGGGCCUUGAGUAAAUAUAGGCAGUAGCCAGGGAGUGGUUACUGCAGGCGUUGGAAAACAUGCAGUGCUGUGCUGGCUUCAGGUCUGACCCAACACAGUCAUAGUGGUGGUGGCCACAGGGGUGCUUAUAUUAUUGCAUCCCCAGUUUCAAGUCGCUCAGAACAGAGAGAGAUACUAUAUUUAUUUGAAAGAACAUAAAAAAGAGAACAAGAAUUAUCUGCCUGGGAAUCCAGAGAAAUCUCCCAGAUGUUGUCCAAGACCAUCAAGGUAGUACGUCUACGAAUCUGCAAGAACCACAGUGUUACUGGGCUCAUGGUUCCUCAUAAAGCAGAUACAGCUUAGAUGACAACACCCAAGUCCUCUCAAAUAUCUGGGAAGCCUUCACAAGAAGGAUAGGUACAAACAAGCCCAGACUGUGAAGACUAACAUAAAUACCUAACUCCUCAAUGCCCAGACACAGACAAACAUCUACAAGUAUAAAAGACAGUCCAUGGAAACAUGACCUCACCAAAUGAACUAAAUAAGGCACCAGGGAACAAUCCUGGAGAAACCGAGAUAUGUGAUCUUUCAGACAGAAUUCAAAAAAGCUCUUUUGAGGAAACUGAAAGAAAUUCAGGAUAACACAGAGCAGGAAUUCAGAAUUCUAUUAGAUAAAUUUGAUAAAUUGAAAUAGUUAAAAAGAAUCAAGCAGAAAUUUGGGAGCUGAAAAAUACAAUUGGCAUAUUGAAGAAUGCAUCAGUGUCUUUUACUAGCAGAAUUGAUCAAGCAGAAGAAAGAAAUAGUGAGCAAGCUAUUGAAAAUAGGGCAGGCAGUUUGAAAGUACGUAGAGGAGACAAAAGAAAAAAGAAAUAAAAAACAAUGAAGAACACUUACAGGAUCUAGAAAAUAGGUGGAAAAAAGCAAAUCUAAAAGUUAUUGGCCUUAAAGAGGAGGUAGAGAAAGAUAUAGGGGUAGAACAUUUAUUCAAAGAGAUAAUAACAGAGAAUUCUCAAACCUAGAAAAAGAUAGUAAUGUCCAAGUACAAGAAGAUUAUACAACACCAAGCAGAUUUAACCCAAAGAAGACCACCUCAAGGAAUUUAAUAAUCCAGCUCCCAAGAAACAAGGAUAAAGAAAUUAUCAUGAAAACAGCAAGAGAAGAGAAACAAAUAACAUAUAAUGGAUCUCCAGCACAUCUGGCAGCAAACUUUUCGGUGGAAAUUUCACAGGCCAAGAGAGUGGUAUGGCAUAUUUAAAGUGCUGAAGGAAAGAGACUUUUACCCUAGAAUAAUAUAUCCAGCAAAAAUAAUCUUAAGACAUGAAGGAGAAAUGAAGACAUUCCCAGACAAACAAACACUGAGACAUUUUAUUAACACUAGACCUGUACUACAAGAAAUGCUAAAGAAAGUACAUCAAUCAGAAAUAAAAGGAUGUUAGUGAGCAACUAAUAAUCACCUGAAGGGAAACCAAACAAGAGCAAAAGUUGCUGCACUGAUAUCAGACAAAAUAUAUUUCUAGACAAAAACUGUAACAAGAGACAAGGUCGCUAUAUAAUGAUAAAAGGGUCAAUUUAGCAAGAAUAUAUAACAAUUUUAAGUAUAUGUGCAGUCAACCCUGGAGCACCCAGAUAUAUGAAGCAAAUAUUAUUAGAGGUAAAGAAAGAGAUAGACCCUAAUACAAUAAUAGCUGGAGACUUCACCCCACUUUCAGCAUUAGGCAAAUCUUUUAGACAGAUAUUAACAAAAAAACUCAAUCUGCACUAUAGACCAAAUGGAUCUAAUAGAUAUUUACAAAACUUUUCACCCAAUGGCUAUGGAAUAUAAACUCUUCAGCACAUAGAUCGUUCUCAAGGAUAGACCAUAUGUUAGGUCAUAAAUCAAGUUUUAAAAUAUUCAAAAAAUGGAAAUAAUAUCAAACAUCUACUCUGACCACAAUGGGAUAAAACUAGAAAUCAAUAACAAGGAAUUCUGAAAACCAUACAAAUACAUUAAAAUUAAACAAUAUGCUUCUGAAGAAUCAGUGGGUCAAUGAAGAAACCGAAAAAAAGUUGAAGAAUUCCUUGAAACAGAUGAUAAUGAAGACACCAUCUACCAAAACCUAUGAAAUACAGCAAAAGCAGUAUUAUGAAAGAAGUUUGUAGCUAAAAAAAAAAAAAUCUAACAGUGUGCUUGAACUAGAAAAGCAAGAGUAAACCAAAACCAAAAUCAGUAAAUAAAGGAAAUACUAAAGAUGACAGCAGAAAUAAAUUUGAAAUGAAGAAAACAAUGCAAAAGAUUAAUGAAAUAAAAAGUUUGCAGUUUGAGAAGUUAAACAAAAUUGACCUUUAGCUGGACUAAGAAAAAGAGAAGAUCCAAAUAAAUAAAAUCAGAGAUGAAAAGGGAGACAUUAUGACUACUACAGACAUUAAAAGGAUUACUAGUGGCUACUAUGAGUAACUAUACGCCAAUAAAUUGGAAAAUCUAGAAGAAAUGGACAAUUUCCUAGACACAUACAACCUUCCAAUGUUAAACCAGUACGAAAUCCAAAACCUGAACAGACCAAUAACAAGUAGCAAGAUGGAAGCCAUAAUAAAGUCCCUCAGUAAAGAAAAGCUUGGGACCUGAUGACUUUACUGCAGAGCUGUACCAAACAUUUAAAGAAGAAUUAAUACCAAUCCUAUUUAAACAAUUCAAAAAAAAAAAUGAGGAGGGGACACUUCCUAACUUAUUCUACAAGACCAGUAUUACAUUGAUAGCAAAACUAGACAAAGAUACAUCAAAAAAAUUAAAAAAAAACACAAGCCAAUAUCUCUAAUGAAUAUUGAUGCGAAAAUCCUCAGCAAACUACUAGCAAAGCAAAUUCAACAAUACAUUAGAAAGCUCAUUCAUCACGACCAAGUGGGAUUUAUUCCAGGGAUGCAAGGGUGAUUCAACAUAUGCAAAUCAAUCAUUGCGAUGCAUCAUAUCAACAGAAGAAAGGACAAAAUCCAUAUGAUCAUUUCAAUUGAUGUCAAAAUGAUGUUUUCAUCCCUUCAUGAUAAAAAUCCUAAAAAAACUGAGGAUAGAAGGAUCAUACCUCAACAUAAUACAAACCAUAUAUGACAGACCCCAGCUAGUGUCAUACUGAAUGAGGAAAAACUGAAAGCCUUUCCUCUAGGACCUGGAACACAACAGGGAUGCCCACUAUCACCACUGUUAUUCGACAUAGUACUGAAAGACUUAGAUAGAGCAAUCAGACAAGAGAGAGAAAUAAAGGGCAUCCAAAUUGGAAAGGAAGAAGUCAGAUUAUCCUUGUUUGCAGAUGAUAUUAUCUUUUAUUUGGAAAAACCUGAAGACUCUUAGCCAGGCAUAGUGACAUGUGCCUGUAGUCCCAGCUACAUGAGAGCCUGAGACAGAAGGAUCAUAUGAGCCCAGGAGGUCGAGGCUACAGUGAGCUGAGAUCCUGUCACUGCAUUCCAGCCUGGGCAACAGAAUGAGACCUUAUCUCAAAAAAGGAAAAAAAAUGAAAAAAAGGAAAAACUCCACAAAAGAAAUUAGAACUUAUAAACAAAUUCAGUAAAGUUGCAGGAUACAAAAUUAACAUCCAGAAGUCAGUAGCAUUUCUUUAUGCCAAUGUGAACAAUCUAAAAAAGAAGUAAUCUUAUUUAUAAUAGCCACAAAUAAAAUUAAAUACCUAGGAAUUAAUUUAAAGCAAUCAACAAUCUCUGUAAUGAGAAUUAUAAAACACUGAUGAAAGAAAUUGAAAAGGACACCAGAAAAUGGAUAGUCUAUGUUUAUGAAUUGGAAGAGUCAAUAUUGUGUAAAAUUCCAUACUACCCAAAGCAAUCUACAGAUUCAGUGCAAUCCCUAUCAAAAUACCAAUGUUAUUUUUCAAUGAAAUAGAUAAAACAAUCUUAAAAUUUCUAUGUAACCACAAAAGACCCAGAAUAGCCAAAGCUAUCCUAGGCAAAAAGAACAAACCUGGAGAAUUCAUAUUACCUGACUUCAAAUUAUACUACAGAGCUAUACUAACCAAACCAGCUUAAUGCUGGUAUAAAAACAGACACAGACCAAUGGAACAGAAUAGAGAAUCUAGAAACAUUCACACUCCUAUAGUGAACUCAUUUUCAAUAGAAGUGCCAAGAACAUACGCUGAGGAAAAGACAGUCUCUUCUUUGAUAAAUGGUGCUGUAAAAACUGGAUAUCCAUAUGCACAAGAAUGAAACUAGAUCCCUAUCUCUCAUUGUAUACAAAAAUCAAAAUGGAUUAAAAACGUAAAGAUCUCAAACUAUGAAACUACUACCAGAAGUCAUUGGGGAAAAUCUCCAGGACAUUGUUCUCAGCAAAAAUUUCUUAAGUAAUUCUCCACAACGACAGGCAACCAAAGCACAAAUGGACAAAUGGGAUCUCAUCAAGUUAAAAAGCUUCUGCACAGCCAAGGAAACAAACAAAAAAUUGAAGAGAGAACCCACAGAAUGAGAGAAAAUAUUUACAAGCUACCCAUUUGACAAAGGAUUAAUAACCAGAAUAUAUGAAAAGCUCCAACAACUCUAUAGGAAAAAAAUCCAAUAACCUGACCAAAAAAUGGGCAAAAUAUCUGAAUAAACAUUUCUUCGAAGAAGACAUGCAAAUGAAAAACAUGAAAAGGUGUUCAACAUCAUUGAUCAUUAGAGAAAUGCAAAUCAAAACUUUAGUGAGUUAUCUCACCCCAGUUAAAAUGGCUUAUAUUCAAAAGACAGGUAAUAACAAGUGCUGGUGUAGAUCUGGAGAAAAUGGAACCAUGUAUACUGUUGGUGAGAAAUUAAUACAACCACUAUGGAAAACAGUUUGGAGGUUCCUCAAAAAAACUGAAAAUGGAGCUACCAUAUGAUCCAGCAAUUUCACUGCUGGGUAUGUACCCUAAAGAAAGAAAAUGAAUAUGUCAAAGAGAUAGCUGCAUUCCUGUGCUUGUUGCAGCACUGUUCACAAUAGCCAAGAUUUGGGAGCAACCUUAGUGUCUAUCACCAGAUGAAUGGAUAAACAAAAUGGGGUACAUAUACAAAAUGGAGUACUAUUCAGCCAUAAAAAAGAAUGAGAUCUAGUCAUUUGCACCAACAUGGAAGGAACUGGAGAUCACUAUUUGAAGUGAAUAAGCAAAGCACAGAAAGACAAACAUCACAUGUUCUCACUUAUUUGUGGGAUCUAAAAAUCAAAACAAUUGAACUCAUAGACAUACAGAGUAGAAGAAUGAUUACCAGAGGGUAGGAAGGGCACUUGUUGGGUUGGGGAGGAAAUUGCAAUGGGUAAUGAGUACAAAAGAAAAAAAAUAGUAUGAUUAAGAUCUAGUAUUUGAUUGCAUAAUCGGGCGACUGUAGUAAAUAAUAAUUGACCAUUUAAAAAUAACUAAAAGGGUAUAAUUGGAUUCUUUGCAACACAAAGGAUAAAUGCUUGAGAGGAUGUAUACAUCCAUUUUUAUGAUUUGCUCAUUACACAUUGCAUGCUUGUAUCAAAAGUUUUCAUGUACCCCAUAAAUACAUACACCUACUAUGUACUACUCACAAAAAUUAAAAAUUAAAAAUACCAUUUUAAAUAAAGAAGAUAGCUUUUUGGGGGGCGGGGACAGGGUCUCACUCUCCAUCUCUCACUCAGACUGCAAUGGUGAGAACAUGAUUCAUUGGGAAAUAAACACAACUUCCUGGGCUCAAGGUGUCCUCCCACCUCAGCCUGCUGAGUAGCUGGGACCACAGGCACACAACACCAUGCCUGGCUAAUUUUUUUUUUUUUUUUUUUUUAAUUUGAGACAAGAUCUCACUAUGUUGCCCAGGCUGGUCUUGAACUCCUGGGCUCAGGCAAACCUCCUGCCUUGGCCUCCCAAAGUGCUGGCAUUACAGGCAUGAGCCACUGCACCCAGCAGCAGUCUUACUUUCUUUAAACCAGAAACUAGGGAUAUUAAAGAGAUCUCAGGAAAAAGUGGCAGGAACAGAAUCUGUCUGUAGUGUACAAAAUGGCUGUUAAACAGAUUUUUGAAUUAAACUUAAAACCUCUUGCAAUUUUUAAAAGCGUGUAUCAAUACUUUAAGAAAACUUUGUUGUUUACACAGACUCUGGUCCUGUAUCAUGUCAUCCCUGACAGCAACAUUUAAUUUUUAGAAUAUCGUAUAAACAAUUUCUUUUCAAUCUCAGUGGACCCAGUCACACAUGAAACUUUUUUCAUGAGACCAGUGCUUUAGAAAUCCUCUUCUACUUGUUUAGUUCUUUCACCACUUUUCAACCCCCACCCCCCAAGUCUUAUUUCUGUAAUUUUUCUUUUUAAAAAAAUUAUGGAACAACAAUUUUAAAUUAGGUAAAAUUUUACCACAUACAAUUUUUUACACAAAAUUAUUUCCUUCUAAAUUCAUAUUUUGAUUAAUAGACACAAAUGUAUUUAGUCUUUCCAUAAAAUUUAAAAAGCCAAGAAUGAACUUAUGUGUACUUAACAAUUUGUUUCUGUUUUUUUCUUAUUUGGAUAUGGCUCAGACAUUUAAUGAGUAUUAUUUAAUUUAACAUAACUUUAAGAUUUUAAAUUACAUGAAAAUUUAUUUGUAAAUGCUUACUCUGUUUGCAAUUACCUAAUUUAUUUAUUUUUUAACAAUUAUACCUUGAUUACCUAUGAAAAUUGAGAUACUAGACAUAGCUAGUUAUUAGGUUUUUAUUAACGAAUUUUAUUGCCUGUUAAUAUCAGGAAUUUCCCUAAGUAAGAACUUUAAGGUUAAAUACAUAGGUCAAUAAGUCCUAUUGUAUAAAUCCUGUCAAUAAGUCAGGAGACACGGCUGAUUUUAUUAAAGCAACAAUAUUAAAUUAAUCUUAUCAAAGGGUUAAAGAUUAUGUUGUUUUAGGCUUUAUCACCUUAUUACAUUAAAAGAUCUAGCAGAGGCAUAUAUAAAACUGUGUGACCAGUAAACUCAAGUGAGAAUGUAUGUUGACACUUUUGAAGAUAUUUCUAAUUUUAUUUUUUCAACCAUUUUUAAACCAAUUUAUCAAGAUUUACUUGUGAACUAAAAAAAAAAAAAAAGUUGGGGUGCCAGGUGCCUAUAAUCCUAGCUACUUGGGAGGCUGUGGCAGAAAGAAUUUCAAGGGCCCAGAAUUUCAAGGUUGCAGUGAGCUAUGAUUAUGCCACUGUACUCCAUUCUAGGUGAAAGAGCAAGACUGUUUCUAUAAUUUUAUUGAAUGGGAUAAUUAGUAUACUAUUGAUUUUAUAUGUGCACCCAAUAUAUCUAAAUAAAAUAUUUUGAGGGAUGUCAAGCUAAUUAUACCAGAUUUUAUUAUGUACAUGUAACAUAUAACACAGUACAUGUACAUAUGUGUAAACACAUCUAAAUGUAUAUAUACACAUAUAAAAAUACUUUCAUAUAUAUGCUCAUAUAAAAAUACUUUCAACUUUCAUUUUAGAAUUUUGGUCAUGAGAUAGUAAAACAUAGAGACUCACUGAUUUUUUUUAAAAAAUACAUUUAUCAGGCGCAUAUGCUAUUUUGUUACAUACAUAGGUUGCAUGGUGGUCAAGUCAGGGCUUUUAGGGUAUUUGUCACCUAAAUAAUGUAUGCUGUAGCCAUUAAAUAAUUUCUCAUCAUUCUCCCUACUCCCACUCCCUCACCUUUCAAGUCUACAUUAUCUAUCUAUGUCCAUUAUCUGUCUAUGUCCAUGUGAACACAUUUUGUAGCACCCACUUAGGAGUGAUAACAGGUAAUAUUUGUCUUUCUGUGCCUGGCUCGUUUCACUUAAGAUAAUGAUUUCCAGGAUGAGUGUGGUGGCUUGUGCCUGUAAUCCCAGGAAUUUAGAAGGCCAACGCAGCCAGAUUGCUUGAUGCCAAAAUUUCAAGACCAGGCUGCGCAUAAUUUCAAGACCUUCUCUUUACAAAUAAAAAUAAAAAUAAAUAGCUGGAGCUGUGGCAUGAACCUGUAGUCCUGGCUAGUUGGAAGGCUGAGGAGGAGGGAUUACUUCAGCCCAGGAUUUCAAGGCUGCAGUGUGCUAUAAUUGUGCCAAGACACUCCAGCCUGGGUGACAUAGCAAGACCUUUUGUCUAGAAGAUAGCAAAGAUAAUGACCUUCAGUUUCAUCUGUAUGGCUGCAAAAUACUUGAUUGUAUUCUUUUUUAUGGUUGAAUAGGAUUCCAUUAUGUAUAUACACCACAUUUUCUUACUCAUUUAUCUAUUGAUAGACACUUAGGUUGAUUCCCCUUUGCUAUGAAUAGUGGUGUGAUAAACAUGCAAGAGCAAGUAUGUUUUUGAUAUAUUGAUUUUUUUCCUUUCAGUAGAUACCUAGCAGUGGUAUUGCUGGAUUGAAUGAUAGUUCUUUUAGUUCUUUGAAAAACCAUACUGUUUUCCGUAAAGGCUGUACUAAUAUCCAUUCCGAGCAACAGUAUAUGAGUUCUCUUUUCUCCAUAUCCUCACCAACAUCUGCUCUUUUUUGUCUUUUUAAUAAUGGCCAUUCUAGCUGGGGUAAAAUGAAAUAUCAUUGUGGUUUUGAUUUGCAUUUCCCUGAUGAUUAAUGAUGAGCAUUUUUUCAUAUACCUGUUGGCCAUUUGUAUGUCUCUUUUGAAAAAUGUCUGUUCAUGUCUUUUGUCCCACAUGGGAUUAUUUGAUUUUAUUGUUUGAGUUCCUUGUAUAUUCUGGAUAUUAGUCCUCUGUUGGAUUGAUAGUUUGAAAAUAUUUUCUCCCAUAUAACAGGUUGUCUCUUCUCUAUGUUGAUUGUUUCCUUUGCUGCGAAGAAGCUUUUUAGUUUAAUUAAGUCCCAUUUGUCUAUUUUUUCUUCUGUUGCCUGUGCUUUUGAGUUCUUAAUCAUUAAUUUGGUGCCUAGAUCAAUGUCCAGAAGAGUUUACUCUAGGUUUCCUUCUAACAUUUUUAAAGUAUUGGGUCUUACAUGUAAGUUUUAAUCCAUCUUGAGAUGGUUUUUGUAUGUGGUGAGAGAUAAGGAUUCAGUUUCAUUUUUCUGCAAUAGAUAUUCAAUUUUUAAGCCAUUUAUUAAAGCGGGUCUUCUUUCCCCCACUGUAUGUGUUGUUGGUUUUGUCAAAAAUCAGUUGGCUGUAAAUAUGUGGCUUUAUUUCUGGAUUCACUAUUCUUUUAUAUUAAUCUGUAUACUAUUUUUAUAUCACUAUCAUGUUAUUUUGCUUACUAGAGCGUUGUAAUAUUAUUUGAAGGCAAAUAAAGUGAUGCUUCCAGCUGUGAUCUUUUUGCUUAAGAUUGCUUUGGUUACUUGGGCUUUGUUUUGGUUCCAUAUGAAUCUUAUGGUUGUUUUUUCUAAUUCUGUGAAAAGCGACACUGGUAUUUUGAUGGGAAUUGCAUUGAAUCUGUAGAUUAGGCAGUUAUGGUCAUUCUAUUAGUCUGUUCUCACACUGCUAUAAAGAACUACCUGAGACUGUAAUUUACAAAGAAAAGAGGUUUAAAAACUCACAGUUCCACUUUGCAGGAAGCAUGAAUGGGAGGCCUCAGUAACAAUCAUGCCAGAAGGUGAAGGGGAAGCAAGCACGUCUUUACCGUGGUGGAACAAGAGCAAGCAAGGGGGAAAUGCCACACACUUUUAAACCAUCAGAUCUCCUGAGAACUCACAGUCACAAGAACAGCAUGGGGGAAAUCCACCCCCCUGAUCCAAUUACCUCCCACAAGGUCCCUCCCCCAACAUUGGGAAUUACAAUUCAACAUGAGAUUUGGUUGGGGACAUGGAACCAAACCAUAUGAGUCACUUUAUUUAUAUUAAUUAUUUCAAUUUAUGAACAUGUGAUAUUCUUCCAUUUGUUUGUGUCAUCUACAAUUUAUUCCAGCAGUGUUUUGUAAUUUUCCUUGUAGAAAUCUUUCACCUCCUUGUAGAAAUCUUUCACCUCCUUGGUUAAAUUUAUUGCUAGGGUUUUUUUUGUAGCUAUUGUAAAUGGGAUUGCCUUCUUGAUUUCUUUCUUUGCAAGGUCAUUAUUGGUAUAUAGAAACACUACUGAUAUUUGUACAAUAAUAUUUUUGUAUUCUUCAACUUUAUUGAAUUCGUUCAUCAAAUCAGAGUUCUUUGGCGGAGUCUAGGUUUUUCUAGAUAUAUGAUUCUAUCAUCAGCAAACAGGGAUAAUUAAACUUCCUCUUUUUAAAUUUGGAUUCCUUUUAUUUAUUUUUCUUUCCUGAUUGCUCUGGCUAGGACAUACCCUAAUACAUUAAAUGAGAGUGGAAAAAUUUGGCAUCCUUGUGUUGUUUCUGUUUUAGAGAAAAUCCUUUCCAAGAUUCCCCCAAUUACUAUGAUGUUAAGGGAGGAGACCACCCCUCAUAUUGUCUUAUGCCCAAUUUCUGCCUCCAAAGAAAGAAGUAGUAAAAAGUAAAAGGCAGAAAUGAAAUCCACAAGCGGACAGCCUGGCGCCACACCCUAGGCCUGGUAGUUAAAGCUUGACCCCUGACCUAAUCGGUUAUUUGCAUAAGAAAAGCACUGUAAAGAUCCCUGUCCUGUUCUGUUCCAUUCUAAUUACCAGUGCAUCCAGCCCCCAGCCACAUACCCCCUGCUUGCUCAAUUGAUCACGACCCUCUCACAGGGACCCCCUUAGAGUUGUGAGCCCUUAAAAAGGACAGGAAUUGCUCACUAGAGGAGCUCAGUUGUUGGAGAUGUGAGUCUUCCCGAAGCUCCUGGCCGAAUAAAGCCCUUCCUUCUUUAACUCAGUGUCUGAGGGGUUUUGUCUGUGGCUUGUCCUGCUACAUUUCUUGGUUCCCUGACCAGGAAGUGAGGUGAUUAACAGACGGUCGAGGCAGCCCCUUAGGCAGUUUAGGCCUACCCCAUGGAGCAUCUCUGUGGGGGACUCCGGCCAGCUUGAGCAACGCAGAUCCUGAGAGUGCUCCUGGGUAGGCAAUUGUCCCAGUGGAACGCCUCACCAGAGCAGUGCGUGGCAGGCCCCUGUGGAGGAUCAACGCAGUGGCUGAACGCCGGGAAGGAACUGGCACUUGGAGUCCAGACAUCUGAAACUUGGUAAGACUAGUCUUUGGAAAUUGCCUACUCCAUUUGAGUGGAAGCGUGGCCUGAUCACCCAUGGCAUGCCUGUACUGGCAGUUUGGUUUUUUGUUUUUGACUUGACUUGGAUUGCUUGAUACUUUGGUUUUGGUUUUGACCUGGCUUGGAUUUCUUGAUACUCUGAUUUUGGUUUUGAUUCUGGUUUGGUGUAAACUGUAAAAGUGUGUGUGUGCCCUUUUUACCCGUUCUUUUUGUGGUGUGCGUGCGGUGUGAGCGUGGUGUUUUGUCUUGAGGAAGCAUGGGUCAGGCACAAAGUAAGCCCACCCCACUAGGAACUAUGUUGAAAAAUUUCAAGAAAGGAUUUAAGGGAGAUUACGGUGUUACUAUGACACCAGGAAAACUUAGGACUUUGUGUGAAAUAGACUGGCCAGCAUUAGAGGUGGGUUGGCCAUCAGAAGGAAGCAUGGACUGGUCCCUUGUUUCAAAGGUAUGGCACAAGGUAACCUGUAAGCCAGGGUGCCCAGACCAGUUCCCGUACAUAGACACUUGGUUACAGCUGGUUUUAGACCCCCUCCCUACCCCCACGGUGGUUGAGAGAACAGCAGCAUAAGCAGCUGGCAGAGGCAAGGAAAGACCAGCAAAGAGACAGAGAAGAAAGAGACAGGAAAAGAGGCAAAGAGAGAGAAGAAGAGAGAGAGGAAGAGACAGAGAGACAAAGAGGGAGUCAAGGAGAAAGAGAGAGAGAGGAAGAGACAGAGGCAAAAGGAAAGUCAAAAAGAGAGACAAUGUCAAAGACAGAGAAAUAUACAAGUAGUUAAAAAAAAGUGUGCCCUAUUCCUUUAAAAGCCAGGGUAAAUUUAAAACCUAUAAUUGAUAAUUGAAGGUAUUCUCUGUAACCCUAUAACACUCCAAUACCACUUUGUUGUCAGUGUAAACAAGGGCAUAUCCCGAAAGCACAGAGGCCACUGAUAACCCGUAGCCUUCCUAUCAAAAAUCUUUAACCCAGUAACCCACGAAUGGCCCAGAUGCAUUCAGUCUGUAGCGGCAAUGGCUUUGCUAACAGAAGAAAGUAAAAAAAUAACUUUUAGAGGAAACCUCAGUGUGAGCAUACCUCACCAGUUCAGAAGUAUCCUAAGGAAAAAAAAAAAAAAAAAAAAGGAUGUUUUAACAUUAACCACGAAAAAAAUCCCUUAACCCAGAAGUUUUCCUAACAGGGCAUCUAAGUCUUAAUUACCAUACAAAGGUCCGACCAGACCAGAAUUCCCUACAGGACAGGACCAUCAAUGGUUCCUCCCGGGUAAUUGAAGGAAAAAAAAAAAAAAAGCCAUCUAUACCAAUUCUAAGUUAAUUUGGACAAAACAAGGUCUUAUUAAUAGCAAAGGAUAAUUAAAAUCCCAAACUUGCAAGGUUUUCAACAAAAGUAAAGUUUGCUAAAAGCUAACAUUGUAACAUGUAUUAUAGUAAAUUAUAAUCUUGUGGCCUUAGACAGUCUAGUCCACAGUCAUAAAGCAAGUUCGCUUUGGAAAAGAAUGGUUAUCUCUGAAAAAAAAAAAAAGAAGAAAAGGAGGGGCAGAAUUUAUGUAAAAAAAGUGUUAUAUGGUAAAUUCUUGUCCUGAAAUAAAUUAACUGGUUGUUUAAAGAAAGAAAUGUUUGUAAUAAGUCAGAAAGUUCAGGCAUUGCUAAGAAUUGUCUGCAAAAGUUGUGAAAGAGAAAUAUGUUAUAAAAAAAAAGAAUUUAUGCAAGAAAAGUUGUAUAAUUUAAAAGUAACUAGGCCUCCUGAAUGUAAAACUAUUGAAAUAAACAGUUUAUGUGCAAGGUGUAUAAGGAAAGUAAAAUAUAACUUUGGUAAAAGGAUUAUAAGGAGGCAAAAGAAUGUAAGUUGUUACAUACAUUAAAAGGUUAAAAAAACUAUUUUGAAGGUUUAAGCAAGUUUUAAAAUGUUAAUUGUAAAGGAAAUUCUGUGUGUAAACAUAUUAGCCAAAGGUAAAGGGGUAACAUCCAGUUUUUCUGUGAAUUGGACAUUAAAGUAAAAACACAAUGGGUUUUUCUUAAAGCACUAACCUGCUCUUUAACAAAGAUUAUAAAAAGUGAGUCUAUAAAAAUCUUACCUGAUGGUCCAACAUGAAAAAUUCAAUAAAUAUGUAUACAAAGUUUUAUUAAAACUAAGUUUAACAUUAAUAACACACUAAUAUAAAGGUGAAAUUUAGCUUAUCUGGUAUAAAAAUCAUACAGGAAGCAUUGUCAAAUAUAAAAUGGUAUUUGGCUUCUUUGGUCUAAAAACUAAUAAAAAUAGGUGCUAAAGGAAAUUUCUCAGUGGAAAGGCACCAAGAACUAUAAAGUCCACUGCUGAUGUCCCCACAUUUAAAACAAAAGGUCAACUUCUUAGAAAUUAUAUACUUGGUUUAUCUUCCACUUUCCUUUCCCUCAAAACUAAAAGUCUUUUAGCACAUGUACCACCCCUAGAAUUUCCGGUAAACCAGCACCAGCCUAUCCGCUCGGGGAUGAACAAGGGCUGACUGAUUGAUAAGCUCUUGAAAAUUCUUAAGCUCACUGCAUCCCUUCAGGUCUCCAAGGAACGCUAAGUUUCUUCCCUGUUGUGAGAGACACGAAGUGAACUUAGUGUUGGGAGACGGAAGCUGGAUGGCCCUCGGGGGCUGACCCGCAGGGUACCGGACUUUGGGAUAUAGCAGAGAGAGCUUGGCAUGACUUACUACUCCAGGCUGUAGAAUCCUGGAUAAGAGCUACCAUGCAGCCCACGUGUGGUCGACUGGAGGAUCAGCUGCUUAGUGGAAAGAGGACAAUCUGGGCCUCUGGCCUGCCAUGUGCACAAGCAUAACAAUUGCUUUUGUUUAACGUGCAGAUGGAAUAUUUGAUCCAUUCCAACCAGGCAUUUGCAUCUUGGUAUCCUGUCUUAAUUGCCAAAGUUUGUUUUAAGUCUUUAACUUCUAUCAUCCUCUAGUAAAAUGAAUGUAUGAUUUUAGGAAAUUACAAAAACCGGUUGGGGCAGCCCAUCCUUGCUCUUUAGUGGUCCACAGAAUGUUGGACCAACUACGGCAUAAAAGCUCUACAUAGGGGAGCAAGACUCCUGGUUGACACUGGAGUCUUAAUCAAAAUUUCCCCAGAUUAAAUGGUCCUAAUUUACUAAUGCCCAGUCUGAGGAGAGUCAGGAGGGACAGAGGUACUUUUCUGAAGUAGAGAGCUGUCUUUGACUGGGCAAGUCCCCACAGGGUAUAACAAGGCAAGCAUUAAAUGCAAUAGUUUGAGGCAAAAUUGACUUGGUUAUGUUAAUAACCAGAUGGUCAGCAAAAGAGCGAGGUAAGAAGAAAGAGUAAUAGAAUAGAUUAAGACUUAAAUUUUUGUUAGCUUUAGUUUGGUAAGGUUUUCCCCUGGGACUAUGGCCCAUGACUCUGGAGGGGGUGGCACUUUCUUGACUUGGUUGUGAUUAGUCCAUCCUUUUUUCACUGUAUGAACAGCAGUCUCGGUGUUUAGCAGCACAAGGUAGGGUCCUUCCUAGGCUGGAUCGAGUUUCCUUUCUUUUCACCCUUUGAUGAGAACGUGAUCUUCAGGAUGUGUGGUGGUAUUGUGAUUGUGUGUGGACCUUUACUGGGCACUCUGCCGAAUAACUGGAGUGGCACUUGUACUUUAGUUCAAUUGGCUAUCCCUUUCACCCUGGCAUUUCAUCAACCAGAGGGAAGAAAAAUAAGACAUUGUAAAGCGAGAGAAGGCCCUUAUGGGUUUUUUGACUCUCACGUCUAUUUAGACACAAUUGGAGUCCCACGGGGAAUACCAGAUCAAUUUAAAGCUUGAAAUCAAAUAGCUGCAGGAUUUGAGUCAAUAUUUUGGUGGGUGGCAGUUAAUAAAAAUGUAAAUUGGAUAAACUACAUCUAUUACAACCAACAGCAAUGAGCUUUUCAUGAGUUAAAAGAAAAACUCCUGUUGGCCCCAGCCCUGAGGCUACCCGACCUGACAAAAGCCUUUACACUCUAUGUGUCAGAAAAAGAAAACACGGCAGUUGGAGUUUUAACCCAGACUGUGGGGCCCUGGCCAAGGCCAGUGGCCUAUCUCUCAAAACAACUAGACGGGGUUUCCAAAGGCUGGCCCCCAUGGCUAAGGGCCCUGGCAGCAAUGGCCCUGUUAGCACAAGAAGCAGAUAAACUAACCCUUGGGCAAAACCUGAAUAUAAAGACCCCCCCAUGCUGUGGUAACUUUGAUGAAUACCAAAGGACAUCAUUGGCUAACAAAUGCUAGAUUAACCAAGUACCAAAGCUUGCUAUGUGAAAAUCCCCACAUAACCAUUGAAGUUUGCGACACCCUAAACCCUGCCACCUUGCUCCCGGUAUCAGAGAGCCCAGUUGAAUAUCACUGUGUUGUAUUGCACUCAGUUUAUUCUAGUGGGCCCAACCUCUGAGACCAUCCUUGAACAUCAGUAGACUGUGAGUUGUACAUGGGCGAGAGCAGCUUCGCCAACCCCUGCAAAGUGACUCUGAAGAAGAUGACAAUACCUGCUUCAGUCACACCCGGAAGCUGACUGGUCCACGCAUGGCCAAAGCAUGAGAAAACUCAUUGCGGGACUCAUUUUCCUUAAAAUUUGGACUUAUACCAUAGGGACUUCAACUGACCUUCCUCAGACUGAAGACUAUUCCCAGUAUAUACGUCAAGUCACUGAGGUAGGAAAAAAGUUGCUACAGUCCUAUUAUUUUAUGGUUAUUAUAAGUAUACCAGGACUCUAAAAAGAACUUGUUUGUAUAAUGCUAUUCUAUACAAGGUAUGUAGCCCAGGAAAUGACCAACCUGAUGUGUGUUAUGACCCAUCUGAGCCUCCCAUGACCACAGUUUUUAAGAUUAAGGACUGAAACCUGGUGGGGGCUCAUAAACGAUAUGAGUAAAGUGUUAGCCAAAACAAAAGAAAAAGGGGUGCCCAAACAAGUCACCUUGAAGUUUGAUGCCUGUGUUGUCAUUAAUAGUAAUAAGUUAGGAAUAGGAUGUGGUUCUCUUAAUUAGGAAAAAGGCUAUAUGGCAAAAAAAAAAAAAAAGUACAUUUGUCAUAAAUUAGGACUGUAUGGAAAUGAACGUGCAUACUGGUCUUGUGUCAUUUCGGCUACUUGGAUAAAAAAUGAAAAGGAUCCCGUCCACCUUCAGAAAGGGAAAAGUGGCCCUUCCUGUACAAGUGGUCAGUGUAACCCCUUAGAACUAGUAAUAACCAACCCCCUUGAUCCUCACUGGAAAAAAGGGGAGCGUGUAACCCUAGGAAUUGAGGGGGCUGGACUGGAUCCUCGAGUAAAUAUCAUGGCUUGAGGAGAAGUUUAUAAACGCUCUCCUGAGCCAGUAUCUCAACCCUUCUACGAUUAACUGAAUGUGUCAGUACCAGAAAUUCCAGGAAAAACAAGAAAUUUGUUUUUACAAUUAGCUGAGCAUGUAGCCUAGUCUCUCAGUUUCACUUCAUGUUAUGUAUGUGGAGGAACUAUAAUGGGAGAUCAAUGGCCAUGGGAAGCCUGAGAAUUAGUACCUACAGACCCAGUUCCUGAUGAAUCCCCAGUUCAAAAGAAUCACCCUGAUAACUUCUGGGUCCUAAAAGCCUCAAUUAUUAGACAAUACUGUAUAGCAAGAGUGGGGAAGGACUUCAACCUUCCUGUGGGAAGACUCAACUGCCUUGAGCAAAAACUGUAUAAUAUUACUACAAAAACAGCCACCUAGUGGAGUUCAAACCACACUAAGAAAAAUCCAUUUAGUAAAUUCCCAAAGUUGCAAACCAUGUGAACCCACCCAGAGUCCCACUGGGACUGGGCAGCCCCCACUGGAUUAUACUGGAUAUGUGGGCAUAGAGCUUACACCAAAUUACCCUACCAGUGGGCAGAUAGUUGUGUUAUUGGCACUAUUAAACCAUCUUUCUUCCUACUGCCCAUAAAGACAGGCAAACUCCUGGGCUUCCCUGUCUAUGCUUCCCACAAAAAGAGAAGCAUAGCUAUAGGAAAUUGGAAAGAUAAUGAAUGGCCCCCUGAGAGAAUCAUAUAAUAUUAUGGGCCCGCUACUUGGGCACAAGAUGGCUCGCGGUGAUAUGGGACCCCCAUUUACAUGCUGAACUGAAUCAUACGGUUACAAGCUGUCUUAGAAAUAAUCACUAAUAAGAUCGGCAGAGCCUUGACUAUUCUGACCCAGCAAGAAACUCAGAUGAGAAAUGCUGUCUAUCAAAAUAGAUUGGCUCUCGACUACUUGCUAGCAGCUGAAGGAGGGGUCUGUGGGAAAUUUAACCUUACUAAUUGCUGUCUACACAUAGAUGAUCAGGGGCAAGUAGUUGAAGGCAUAGGGAUAUGACAAAACUGGCACAUGUGCCCGUGCAAGUGUAUCAUGGAUUUGAUCCUGGAGCCAUGUUUGGAAAAUGGUUCCCAGUGCUAGGAGAGUUUAAAACUCUUAUAAUAAGAGUCAUAAUAGUAAUAGGAACCUGCUUACUGCUCCCUUGUUUGCUACCUGUACUUCUUCAAAUGAUAAAAUGCUUCAUCACUACCUUAGUUCACCAAAAUGCUUUAGCACAAGUGUACUAUAUGAAUUACUAUCAAUCAGUCUUGCAAGAAGACAUGGGUAGUGAGAAUGAAAGUGAGAACUCCCACUAUUGAGUGAGAUUCUCAAAGGGGCAGAAUAAGGGAGGAGACCACCCCUCAUAUUGUCUUAUGCCCAAUUUCUGCCUCCAAAGAAGUAAAAACUAAAAGGCAGAAAUGAAAUCCACAAGCAGACAGCCCGGUGCCACACCCUGGGCCUGGUAGUUAAAGAUCGACCCCUGACCUAAUUGGUUAUUUGCAUAAGAAAAGCACUGUAAAGAUCCCUGUCCUGUUCUGUUCCCUUCUAAUUACUGGUGCAUGCAGCCCCCAGUCAUGUAACCCCUGCUUGCUCAAUCAUGACCCUCUCACGCGGACCCCCUUAGAGUUGUGAGCCCUUAAAAGGGACAGGAAUUGGUCACUCAGGGAGCUCUUGGAGUGAGCAAUUCCUGUCCCUUUUAAGGACAGGAAUUGUGUUGGAGAUGUGAGUCUUGCCAAAGCUCCCGGCCGAAUAAAGCCCUUCCUUAACUCGAUGUCUGAGGGGUUUUGUCUGUGGCUUGUCCUGCUACAAUGUUAGCUGUGAGUUUGUAGUAUAUGGCCUUUAUUAUUUUGAGGCAUGUUCCUUCUGUGCUUAGUUCUUUGAGAGUUUUUAUUAUGAAGGGAUGCUGAAUUUUAUGAAAUGUUUUUUCUGGGUCUAUUGAGAUCGUCAUGUGGGUUUUGUUCUUGAUUCUCUUAAUGCAAAGUAUCGUAUUUGUUGAUUUGCAUAUGUUGAGUUGUCCUUGCAUCUCUGGUAUAAAACCUACUUGAUUAUGGUGUAUUAUCUUUUUCUGUGCCCUGUUUUGAUUUAAUAGUAUUUAUAUGUAUUUUUUUAUUAUACUUUAAGUUCUAGGGUACAUGUGCACAACGUGCAGGUUUGUUACAUAUGUAUACAUGUGCUAUGUUGGUGUGCUGCACCCAUUAACUCAUCAUUUACAUUAGGUGUAUCUCCUAAUGCUAUCCCUCCCCCGUCCCCCCACCCCGUGACAGGCCCUGGUGUGUGAUGUUCCCUGCCCUGUGUCCAAGUGUUCUCAUUGUUCAAUUCCCACCUAUGAGUGAGAACAUGCAGUGUUUGAUUUUCUGUCCUUGCAAUAGUUUGCUCAGACUGAUGGUUUCCAGCUUCAUCCAUGUCCCUACAAAGGACAUGAACUCAUC